rnacentral:rRNA from 1 species
UGGGGAAUUUUGGACAAUGGGCGCAAGCCUGAUCCAGCCAUGCCGCGUGCGGGAAGAAGGCCUUCGGGUUGUAAACCGCUUUUGUCAGGGAAGAAACGGUCUGACCUAAUACGUUGGACUAAUGACGGUACCUGAAGAAUAAGCACCGGCUAACUACGUGCCAGCAGCCGCGGUAAUACGUAGGGUGCAAGCGUUAAUCGGAAUUACUGGGCGUAAAGCGUGCGCAGGCGGCUUUGCAAGACAGAUGUGAAAUCCCCGGGCUCAACCUGGGAACUGCAUUUGUGACUGCAAGGCUGGAGUACGGUAGAGGGGGAUGGAAUUCCGCGUGUAGCAGUGAAAUGCGUAGAUAUGCGGAGGAACACCGAUGGCGAAGGCAAUCCCCUGGACCUGUACUGACGCUCAUGCACGAAAGCGUGGGGAGCAAACA